UCACACAGAUACAUACGCACACAGGCACACGCAACAAUAUUUAUUUUAUUCAAUUCCAAAACGGGCAGCGAAUAAGUUGUGUUUGUGCAAAUCUCGCGCGUUCGCAAAUUUUUGGAAGUUGGCUCUCGACUCUCAUACAUAACGAUCUCAAGUGAUCUCCCCUCGCCGGAACGAACAUACGGAUAUAUCCAGACCUACAUGCUGGGAAAGUAACGCCAGUAACGGUUUAGCUACAGUCAAGACACAAACCCCACGCAACUCCUUAAUGAGUUCCCCUCAAACAAACGGAAUUCGCAACAAAAAACGCUUGAUUUGCCGCUGAUAAAGCUGAUAAAAACCCCCAAAGCCACCAAAGUCAGCUGCACUUUUGCGAUAAGGAGCAGCGCCGCCUCAAACUGACGCCGACACCGACUAAAAUGUCCACGGAGCGUGAGCUGGCUCCCGGUGGGCCAGCUCAGCUCCACCCGCACACGCUGCCGCUGACUUUUCCGGAUCUCCAGAUGACCUCCGCCGUGGGCAUCAUUGGGAAAGUCUACGGUGAGUGACAUUGCCCAAUCAUCCACUUCAUCCCAUCAUCCAUCAUCCCCAAUCUCCAUGGU